rnacentral:rRNA from 1 species
AUUGAACGCUGGCGGCAGGCCUAACACAUGCAAGUCGAGCGGAUGAAGGGAGCUUGCUCCUGGAUUCAGCGGCGGACGGGUGAGUAAUGCCUAGGAAUCUGCCUGGUAGUGGGAGAUAACGUCCGGAAACGGGCGCUAAUACCGCAUACGUCCUGCGGGAGAAAGUGGGGGAUCUUCGGACCUCACGCUAUCAGAUGAGCCUAGGUCGGAUUAGCUAGUUGGUGGGGUAAAGGCCUACCAAGGCGACGAUCCGUAACUGGUCUGAGAGGAUGAUCAGUCACACUGGAACGGGGACACGGUCCAGACUCCUACGGGAGGCAGCAGUGGGGAAUAUUGGACAAUGGGCGAAAGCCUGAUCCAGCCAUGCCGCGUGUGUGAAGAAGGUCUUCGGAUUGGAAAGCACUUUAAGGUGGGAGGAAGGGCAGUAAGUUAAUACCUUGCUGUUUUGACGUUACCAACAGAAUAAGCACCGGCUAACUUCGUG